GCGGAAGUAGCUCAGCGGUAGAGCGCCACCUUGCCAAGGUGGAUGUCGCGGGUUCAAGUCCCGUCUUCCGCUCCA
rnacentral:tRNA from 3 species